GGCCUGUCUCUUGUGUCUGCCAGGGGCACUGGGAGAAAACCUGCUGUGUGCCCUGAGCUGCUUUGGUGUGUUGGAUCUCCUGUUUCCAUGGCUUUUCCCAAAGGGUAGGAAGAAAAAGCCAUUCCUCCGCUUUAGCUAAAAGUACACCUGGAAUUUUGCCCUCCUCCAGAACUGUGGAGUUCUGUUGCUUUUCCUGGUUUGGGAAUACAGAGGAUGGGGCAGAGGAUUUUGUCCCAUUUUGUGCCUCUCUAUUGUUUCAGCUCCUGCUCAGAAUAUGAACAGAGCCUUGUCUGCUCAAGGCCCCUGGCAGGCAGGGGACAAAGAAGGGACCCAGAACCUUUUGGCCCCGUGGCAGAGAGAGAAGCAGCCGAUGGUGCCGGCAGAGCUGCUGUGAGUCCCUGCUGGAGUCUGAUUUGGUGCUGUCCCUUUGUCCCCCUGCAGGCCCUGCUGGAGCGUGUCCAGGCUGUGCCACGUCUGUCCCCAGCUGGGUGCAGGCGUUUGCCCUUGGCAGGGUGCCCUGGGGGCUGAGGCUGCCCCUGCCCUGCUGCUGGCAGGGGAGGCAGGGCUGGCACAGGGCAGCUCCUGCACUCCUGGCUUCCACAGGCUCCCGUGGUUCUCUCCAGGCUGUUCCAGGCUGCUGCAGCGCUCGGCCAAAGCCCUGGAGCCCCUGGGCUGUGGAUGGGCGCUGGCUCCAGGCAAAGGCCACUUGUGGAGGGCCUGGCCCCGGGGGCAUUCCUGGAAGGAGGAGGUUUGUGUGGGAAUGGCCGCUCUGCUCAGACAGGGGGAGCUCUCACUGCCUGGGGGCUGAAGGUGGGGCUGGAAGGGUUGAGAGGCAAAUCCUGCCAGGAGCUGGAGCCUCUUCUCCUGCCCAUGGCCCUGCCUGACACAGCCUGCCCAGCUGGAGAGCUUUCUUUGCCCUUCUAUGUUUCCUUAAGUCACAAUUCCAUGCUUUCAUAGUGCUGUAUUCCAAGAGACAGUGAGAACCCAGUGGCUGCAUGGCUGCUUUCCAUUGCAGCCAAAUGGUUUGAAAUGAACCCUGUGGAUAUAUCCAUGGAUGGAUUUGCAAACAGGGUUCAUCCAGUCCUGCACUCUCAGCCCCCCUAAAGAGAUUUGUUAAAAGAACCUCAGUCCCUCUGCCCUUCCUGGGGUGUAACAACCACCUGUAAAAUAACAAGCCUGUGUUUAUUUUCUCUCUUUGCUCCAAGGGCCCUGGGGUGAGAGCUGUGAGCCCUGAGGUUGGAGAGGAGCUUGGGAUGACACAGAGACUUGGAGAAAGCGUUUUCCAGACUCACACUUGUGUUGAAAGGUCUGCAGCAGGGCUGAGUUUUGCAGAGAGGUGUGAAGGGUUUGUGAGAGCAGAGCAGGAAUGGAGAAAUCAGCUCCAGCAGGGUCCCUGGCAAGUGUGGGACAAGAACUGACACAGAAUUUCCUGGGACCCUGGCAGAGGGAGGAGCAGCAAAUGGUGCUGGCAGAGUUUCUGUGAACAAGAUGAUGGGAACCUAUAAAUAUGGUGAUAUGAAGACUUUUGAUGGAAGCAGAGCAUCUGCAAAAGCUUGGCAGAAGACUCUGAAAGGACAGAAAAACCUACUUAACGCCUCCCAUCUUUGCCCAAAGCUUUGGUGUCUGAGCAGCCAGGCCCAAGGGGCUGCAGGGAGGCAGGGGAUGCUCUCCCUUGGCUCACGGGCACAGGGACAGACAGCUGCAGUGGCACUGUCAGGAGAAGAGGCUGAGAAAGUCACCUUGGGAGCACCACUGGUGGUGUGUACUGCACUCAGUGUAAGGAGGAUUGUGCAACACAAAGGGGACAAAUGGCUCAGCGAUUCUCAGGGUUGCUGUUCCCCGAGGUAAUAAGGUUUUUCAUCUUCUCUUUGCCCUAAGUGUUUCACACCGGAGCCAGAGACAACAAGCUGAGUCUGCCAGUGCACGUUUCCAAGGGUGUUUAUUCUUCAUUAUCUCAGUUCUUUCUCAGCUCUGCCAGGCCUCCCUGGCAGGGUACCUUAUCUUAGUUCUUUUUCAGCUCUGCAAGGCAUCCCCAGCAGAGCAGGACACGCGGCAGACUGGGUGGGUCAGAGAGCCCCGCACCUUAUGUACAGUACCCCUGACCCAACCACCGUCCAAAACGUGCUUUUUAUUUACAAAAUUUUACCAAUGCCUACUACCGAUGCUAACAUGUCAUUUCUACUCUAAACCAAUCUACUCUAAACCAAUCCAACUCAGCAAAAGAUGGGGGACGAGAGCAAAGAACAAGGAGCACAGGGACCACUCCCCAAUUCCUCCAUCUUGUCUCUUCAACCCCAUAUACUAAAAAUCCUAGAUUCUGCAUUUACAUUCUAUGAUAAACUAAAUACUACUUAUUUUGAAUUCUCUCAGCUUGUGAUUCUUUAUACAAUGUGGGCAUUCACUCCCAUGGCCAGGGAUCAGAGGCAGUGUCCUCCUGGGCUCUGUGUGAGGCUGGCUGACCCCCUUGUACAGAUCCCAGACCCCCCUGUCCAGUCUCCAAACCCUCCAGGGUGGCCAGAGGGAUGUUCUAGACUCUGACAAGCGAUGCUGGACUGGUGCAGGGUGAGGCUCUGUGGAUUCAUUCACCUGAUCUGGAGUCAGGGACAGGCACUGCUCCAAAUCCAGCACAGCUCCUGUUUAGUGGAGCAUUGAGAGUGCAGUCAGAAUUGUCCAGAGGUGGUGGAACUGCAAACAAACAUCAAACAGGACUUGGGAAUGAGGAACUGAAGCACAAGGAGCAAUGGUUGGUGGAUGGAUGGGCAGAGGUUACAGAAGGGAGCAGAAAGUCAGGGUAUGUGAUAGCAGAUGGAAAGGCAGGAGAAGUAACAGAGUCAAGACCUCCAAGUGCCAGCUGGUCAGCACAAGCUUGCGAAUUGUCUGUAGUCUGACCAGCACUUAAGAGAUUCAAAGGGAGGAGAAGGACAAUUUUUACUAAUUCCAAAUUUGCUUUUGGAGUAGUGCACACAUUUGGAAAAUCUGGGAGCAAAGAGGAUUGGUCCACAAAGAAUCAAUAAAACAAAUCCUAGAAGCAGUAAGAGAACCUGAAGCCAUUUCCAUUGUACCUGUAAAAGGGCACCAAGUAGGAAUGCAGUUUGGAAUUUGGGGAAAUAAUUUGGCAGCUAGGGAAGCUAAGAAAGCAGCACUCCUCAUGAUCAAUAGUGCAGAGGUUGUUGAUGCCCUGCCUGGGGCUGGGUUCCUCCCCCUGUGGAACAGGGACCUGAGUGAGAGCUCCCAGGAUGACUGCCUGCUGCAGCCACACAAAGGCAGUGCAGAGAUUUUCCAGGAAAUCCACCUCCCCCACCAGCACCUUGGAGGCCUCAGUGUCACGAGGCACUUUCUUGCUGAAUUUAUUCUUCAGCUGCAGCAGUGCAAGAGGAAGGGAAAGGACAUUAAGUUGCACUGGGCACGUUCUUCUCCCCUCUGUGCCAUCCCUGCGCGCUCCUGGGCUCUGCAGCGCUGCACCCUCACUCUGAUCCAGCCCUGGAGAAAUGUCAUCAACGCCUGCCCUGGAGGGCCCCUGGGCCUGCCCGUGGUGUGGGGUGAGUCCCCAGCUGUCCCCAGAGUGUCCCAAAGCCAGAGGGCUCUGCCCUGGUUCCAGGCUGUCCUUGCCCUGCUCCCUGCAGUCCCCAAGGCCUGAGGCACAGAGAGAGCCCUGCCCAAAGGGCCUUUGGCUCCUGUCAGGAAUGUGGGGGCAGCCCCGGGAGCAGCUGCAGGUGAGAGCUGGGGCAGUGUCUGAGCCUGAGCCAGCUCAGGGCAGGGUUUGCCUGUGGGGGUUGGCCCCACACGCUGAGUUCACCCAGGAUCAGGGGGACAGAUGCUGCAUUUUGGGCACCCUGAGAGUUUCUGUGCCCCUGGAGAUUUCCUGCUGGGCUGUGGCAGUGCAGGGAGCAGAAUGAAACCUGCACCUCCCGUGGGCAUUGCUGGCCUUUGUCCCUGCUGUGCCACCAGAGCCUGGGAAUUGCUGCUGUCACUGCCACUGCCAGCCCUGGGGCUGUGUCCUCCUGCAGCCCCUGCCAGCCCCACACACAGCUCCAGGGGUGCCUCUGGGCCGUGUUGGGAGUGUUUGCUGGGAAUGGGCCCCAGCCCUGGAGGAUCCUUUUGUUCCAGAGCAGACAGAAAGAGCUUUGGGGCUUGUCAGCUUCAGAGUUGGAUUGCAGCAGUCCCUGAAAGGAAGAAUGACAGUGAAGUUUGUCAGAGUGGUGCUUGCAGAGCCCACCUAACAGUGUUUGCUUUGUGCUGGAGGCUGUUGUGCAUUUGCACUGCAGGGAAUGAAUGUUCCCUUCCCAAUUCAGCCCAGCAGAUCCCAAAGGCUUUUCCAGGAGUAUUUAUCCUUCACUUCCCUUUGUGAUAAUCUCCACCCUGCCAUGAGCCAUUCCUUGAUCUCUCCUGGAGAAAACCCCACUGCAGAGGCAGUUUGCAAAGGAGCCCCGAGCUGUGUUUGGAGCAGGGAGUGCUGAGAGCUGCGUCUGCCUGUGCUGCCCAGCCUGGCAACAUCCACAGGGAACAGCCUGGGCAGGUGGGAUUGAUGGAGCAAAAUCCCUGCAGGGAAGAGGCUUUGUCCUGUGCAGAUCAGGCAGGGGCAGGCAGGGAACUUGGGCAAUCAGCUCAUUUCCCCCACAAAGUGUCUUGGGUUGAAAAAUAUAACCAAAAACGUGUAUUCUAUUUUCAUCUUUUGUAACCGGUCGGGAGAUCUUGUUCUUUAUCUCUUGUAACUCUAGGGGGGGAAGAGGGCAGAUGCCUUCUGUUAAUGGGACUACUGAUAACACCAGAUAAGGCAGUGCCACCUUCUCUCCUCCUGCACCCAUCCUCCUCCGAGGGACAGCACCUGUGGAAGGGCCUUUCAAGGCCUCUCACUGAUGACUGAUAGCAUUCCCUCAUCCCAUUGUGAGAUGCUCCACACAGUAGAAAGAGCCAAAGCCUUUCCACCAGGAUAAAACCUGCACUCCCAAACACUACUGCCGCUGGUUUUCCACUGACUCCUCGGAGAAAAACUAGGCCCAUCUCGCCAGCACUGGACCCUUUGUUCUACAGGAUCAUCUCUACUCCACAGAACAACAUCUGUAACUCCAGAAAGACUUAUCUCGAUUGCUUCCACCACCCUGGCCAACAGGGUGUCAGGUCGUAUUCCUGACUCCGUCAGGGUUUUCUAGGACUUUUUGUUUGCUUGCUUGCUUGCUUGUUUGUUUUUGUAUUACUGCAUUUGUAUUUUUUUAAUAUUCCUAGUAAAGAACUGUUAUUCCUAUUACCAUAUUUUUGCCUGGAAGCUCCUAAUGGCAAAAUUGUAACAAUUUGGAGGGAGGGGGUUUUUACAUUCUCCAUUCUAAGGGAAACUCCGGUUUUCCCUGACAGGUACCUGUCUUUCCAAACCAAGACAGACACUUGUGUGGAAAAGUUUGUCUAAUACUUGAUACUUUUGUUCAUAUUAUGUGUGUUUUCUUUUUUUUAAUGAAUGUUUAAGUUCUGGGACACUGCAUUCAAAUACAAUC